AAAUGAGACCUAUCGCCCAGGCUGGAGUGCAGUGGCGUGAUCUUGGCUCACUGCAGCCUCCACCUCCCGGAUUCAAACGAUUCUCCUGCCUCAGCCUCCCAAGUAGCUGGGAUUACAGGCAUCUGCCACCACGCCCAGGCACUGCUCUGGGCCCAGCAGACUUGCUGACGACGGGGACAGCUCCGUGCAGGAAGCCUCAGAACAAUGCAUCGCUGCAGCCCAGAGGUCUGGGCACGCCCACGGAGAUUUCCCCUGUGUGUUCUGGAAUGUUUAGUGUGGUUGACCUUGCCAGUGAU
rnacentral:lncRNA from 1 species